rnacentral:rRNA from 1 species
AACGAACGCUGGCGGCAUGCCUAACACAUGCAAGUCGAACGAGACCUUCGGGUCUAUUUGCGCACGGGCGCGUAACGCGUGGGAACCUGCCCUUAGGUUCGGAAUAACUCCCCGAAAGGGGUGCUAAUACCGGAUAAUGUCUUCGGACCAAAGAUUUAUCGCCUUUGGAUGGGCCCGCGUUGGAUUAGCCAGUUGGUAGGGUAAAAGCCUACCAAGGCGAGGAUCCAUAGCUGGUCUGAGAGGAUGAUCAGCCACACUGGGACUGAGACACGGCCCAGACUCCUACGGGAGGCAGCAGUGGGGAAUAUUGGACGAUGGGCGAAAGCCUGAUCCAGCAAUGCCGCGUGAGUGAUGAAGGCCUUAGGGUUGUAAAGCUCUUUUACCCGGGAUGAUAAUGACAGUACCGGGAGAAUAAGCUCCGGCUAACUCCGUG